rnacentral:rRNA from 1 species
CCUACGGGAGGCAGCAGUGGGGGAUAUUGCACAAUGGGGGAAACCCUGAUGCAGCGACGCCGCGUGAGUGAAGAAGUAUUUCGGUAUGUAAAGCUCUAUCGGCAGGGAAGAAAAAAAUGACAGUACCUGACUAAGAAGCCCCGGCUAACUACGUGCCAGCAGCCGCGGUAAUACGUAGGGGGCAAGCGUUAUCCGGAUUUACUGGGUGUAAAGGGAGCGUAGGCGGCCACGCAAGUCAGAAGUGAAAACCCGGGGCUCAACCCUGGGAGUGCUUUUGAAACUGUGCGGCUAGAGUGUCGGAGGGGUAAGUGGAAUUCCUAGUGUAGCGGUGAAAUGCGUAGAUAUUAGGAGGAACACCAGUGGCGAAGGCGGCUUACUGGACGAUGACUGACGCUGAGGCUCGAAAGCGUGGGGAGCAAACAGGAUUAGAUACCCCAGUA